AUUGAACGCUGGCGGCAGGCCUAACACAUGCAAGUCGAACGGCAGCACAGAAGAGCUUGCUCUUUGGGUGGCGAGUGGCGGACGGGUGAGUAAUGUCUGGGAAACUGCCCGAUGGAGGGGGAUAACUACUGGAAACGGUAGCUAAUACCGCAUCACGUCGCAAGACCAAAGUGGGGGACCUUCGGGCCUCACACCAUCGGAAGUGCCCAGAUGGGAUUAGCUAGUAGGUGGGGUAAUGGCUCACCUAGGCGACGAUCCCUAGCUGGUCUGAGAGGAUGACCAGCCACACUGGAACUGAGACACGGUCCAGACUCCUACGGGAGGCAGCAGUGGGGAAUAUUGCACAAUGGGCGCAAGCCUGAUGCAGCCAUGCCGCGUGUAUGAAGAAGGCCUUCGGGUUGUAAAGUACUUUCAGCGGGGAGGAAGGCGGUGAGGUUAAUAACCUCGCCGAUUGACGUUACCCGCAGAAGAAGCACCGGCUAACUCCGUGCCAGCCGCCGCAGUAA
rnacentral:rRNA from 1 species